ensembl:lncRNA
ACUAGGGCCACACCCGCGGCAGGUGGAGGUUCCCAGGCUAGGGGUCUAGGGGUCUAAUCCGACCUGUACCCACCGGCCUACGCCACAGCCACGCCAGAUCCGAGCCAUGUCUGUGACCUACACCACAGGUCACCGCAACGCGGAUUCUUAACCCACGGAGCGAGGCCAGGGAUUGAAGCCGCAAUCUCUCGGCUCCCAGUCGGAUGCGUUACCCACGGCGCCACGACGGGAACUUGCUAACAGACAUUUUUACGGAGGUUCUUCGCAUCUGGACCCCGCCCCCACGCGCGUGUGCGCACACGGAGCUGGAUGUGCGUCCUCGUCUCGCCCAGGGCCAGGCUGGCAGUUCUGCGAGGGAAGCAGAUCUGUGCACACAGCGCUACAAGGACGCGGAGGGAAACAGGGUCUGAAGGGAAAAGGUAGGCAUGGCUGACACUGAGCCGGAACUCGAAAAACAGGCCGGACUGCAGCGAAGGGGAAGCGGAGGAAGGACACUGGCAGAAGGAAGGACCCCGUGCUCAGGCACCAGAGGACGCUCCACCCGCAACUUCCUGCCCAGCAAACAUCUGGGAGCAGCGCGCCUCACCGCACUGUUUAGCAACAGGGCCUCGCAGACUCCAGCGACUGCCAGCUCGAGGGCCUUUCAGCACAGCGGAGGGGUGGAGAGUUAUUCACCUCUACACCCAGUGGCCACCCCAGGUCUUCAAAGAUGCUUGGUACAGGAGUUCCCACUGGGGCUCAGUGGUAACGAACUCAACCAGUAUCCAUGAGGACUUAGGUUGGAUCCCCAGCCCCGCUCAGCGGGUUAAGGAUCUGGCGUUGGUGUAGGUUGCAGAUGCAGCUCGGAUCUGGUGUUUCUGUGGCUGUGGUGGAGGCCAGCAGCUGUGGCUUCGAUGCGACCCCUAGCCUGGGCACCUCCAUAUGCCGCAAGUGCAGCACUAAAAAGCAAAAACAAAAACAAAACACACCCCAAAGACACUUAUUACAAGAAUGUGACGGGGAGACUAGGGCCAUGAAAGACAACUUGGACUUCACCUUCUGGGGCAACCCACAAGUCUCGACUAAGAGUAGGAUGGUGAGGAAGCUUUUAAAGGAAAUGUCUGCCAGCCAGGUGAGUGGUGGGGAGGCAGAGACCAGCUGUGAUGCUACUAAAACAAACUGGGAGAGGAGUAACAGGGGGCAAAACCAAGGCAAGCGGGAGAAGGAAAGAGCUUUUAGAUAGGACAGGUUGCAUGCGUAAUGGCUUGACCUAGGAAGUGGUUUUUGUUGUCUUUUGUAUUUUUAGGGCUGCACCCGUGGCAUGAGAAUGUUCCAGGCUAGGGGUCGAAUCAGAGCUGCAGCUGCCUGCCUAUAUCACAGCCACAGCAAUGUGGGAUCUGAGCUGAGUCUGUGACCUGCAUCCCAGCUCAUGGCAACGCUGGAUCCUUAACCCACUGAGUGAGGCCAGGGAUCGAACCCACAACAUCAGGGCUACUAGCUGGGUCGUUAACCACUGAGCCAUGAUGGGAACACCGGAAGUGGUUUUUUAAAAAUCAAUCUUCUCUAAGUAGAAAUGUCAUGAAAGUUCAUUUUAUUAUAACCUCACAUCUCAAAGUGAAAAUGGUGUUUCUUUUGAAAUACAGGUUAAAAAAAGAAAAUCACAGGGGAACAAAAAGCCAGUUUUGAUUGUUUAGGAAGAAUCCAAGCAAAAAUAGAAAGUAGAAACGCCACUUCAAUAUUAAGUAUUCUCAUAGCAUUUAGUCCCUUUUGUAAUACAGGCACUUAUCUGUGUAUCAAAAUGUCUGCGUGGACGUAGACAGCAAAAAAGACAGGAGUCUAACUUACCAGCUUUGGAGACUUCACGGUCUUUCAAAGGUGGACCACAUCGCUGGGCCUCUGGACUAUUCUCUGGGCCAAGGGUAGACACCUCAGGCCGAGAGGUUCAAACUGGAGGCAGCUGAGAAGGGUCACACUACACCCAAGAGGUUUUCUGGGAAAGCGAACUCUACAAUAUGACUUUCCCCCUGAAACGUGUAUGUGCUUUCAACAUCAGAGGAAACCUCAGUCUUACGUGAUUAUCUUCAAAGACAUUGCUGUGAAUAGCAUUUUGAACAUGCAAGUUUCUCAGAGCGAGUAUGUGACAACGUAGGCCAAAGCAGAAGGCGCCGAACACAGAUGGCAAUAUAUGAUCUUCCCAGUCAAGACGUCUAAGUCCGAAGCGCAGUCCUGUCGGCAUUUGGAUACCUCGAAAGGAACAGGUAAGAAACACAGGUGCACGCAGAAGACUGGACAGUGUCCCAGAGAGAGAAGCCUUUCCAGUUCGUACGUACGUCUAUAAUCAACAACCAACCGGAGCAGGGAUACAGGAAGUCAGGCAGCAAGCUUACAGGAGGUGACCGUAAUUUACUCUAAUCUCCCCCCGCCCCCGCCAAGAAUGGGUUGGGAUGGGUGGCACAUGCUCGUGUUUGGGAAGACGUCCUGAGUCUUCAGCAUUUCCCUUCAAAUCCAGAGACUGUUGCUGGUCGACAGCAACCCAGGGCAUCCGCUCCACUGACAGGCGACACCGCCUUCUCCCUUCUUGCGAGCGCGCUCGAGCGGCUCUCCCGACCCCACCAAGCGGACCGCCAGAUAGGGCGGGGACCCGGGGCGAGGGGGGCGGGGCCGGGGUCCCGGGCAAAGACGGAGUGGGGGUGGAAGUCCAGGGCGAAGGGGUAGGGGUCGCGGUCCCCAGACGAAGGGGAAGAAAGUUGUGGUCCCAGGUGAGGGUGGCAGGAGUCGCAGCCCUCAGCGACCGCGCAGCCUCCUCCGGUCGCGCCGGGGU